rnacentral:rRNA from 1 species
AACGAACGCUGGCGGCAUGCCUAACACAUGCAAGUCGAACGCGUGGCUUCGGCCACGAGUGGCGCACGGGUGAAUAACGCGUGGGAACCUGCCCAUCGGUACGGAACAACCGCGGGAAACUGCGGCUGAUACCGUAUAUACCCUACGGGGGAAAGAUUUAUCGCCGAUGGAGGGGCCCGCGUCGGAUUAGGUAGUUGGUGGGGUAACGGCCUACCAAGCCUGCGAUCCGUAGCUGGUCUGAGAGGAUGAUCAGCCACACUGGGACUGAGACACGGCCCAGACUCCUACGGGAGGCAGCAGUGGGGAAUAUUGGACAAUGGGGGCAACCCUGAUCCAGCAAUGCCGCGUGAGUGAAGAAGGCCUUAGGGUUGUAAAGCUCUUUCGGCGGGACGAUGA